CCAUCAACAUUACCUUCAUUCAACAUGCUCUCAUUGGACUGUUAUGGACUUUCUCUACUGUUUGUCACUGUUCUAACAGGUGUCAGCUGUGAAGAACUCACUCCAGUCAAGAAUGAAGAGUCCAGUUUAGAAGACAGCACUGUUACUCUGUCCUACACAUACUCUAAACUGAAACCUAGUGAUGAGUUUUACUGGUAUCGACAAUAUCCAGGAAAACCACCAGAGUUCAUCAUCUACCAUUCAGGAACUGGAAGUAUAAUUAAUCAUCCAAUCCCUGAACUGAAGAUUAAAGUGGAUCAGAACCAGAAGCAAAUCCAUCUGAACAUCUCCUCUGCUGCAGUGUCAGACUCUGCUGUGUACUACUGUGCUGUGAGGCCCACAGUGACAGGAAACACCUAA